rnacentral:rRNA from 1 species
UACGGGGGGAGCAAGCGUUGUUCGGAUUUACUGGGCGUAAAGAGCGCGUAGGCGGCCACCGCAAGUCGACUGUGAAAUCUCCGGGCUUAACCCGGAAAGGUCAGCCGAUACUGCGGGGCUAGAGUGCAGAAGGGGCAACUGGAAUUCUCGGUGUAGCGGUGAAAUGCGUAGAUAUCGAGAGGAACACCUGCGGCGAAGGCGGGUAGCUGGGCCGACACUGACGCUGAGGCGCGAAAGCCAGGGGAGCGAACGGG